rnacentral:rRNA from 1 species
GACGUAGGGCGCGAGCGUUGUCCGGAUUUAUUGGGCGUAAAGAGCUCGUAGGCGGCUUGUUGCGUCGACUGUGAAAACCCGCGGCUUAACUGCGGGCUUGCAGUUGAUACGGGCAGGCUAGAGUUCGGUAGGGGAGACUGGAAUUCCUGGUGUAGCGGUGAAAUGCGCAGAUAUCAGGAGGAACACCGGUGGCGAAGGCGGGUCUCUGGGCCGAUACUGACGCUGAGGAGCGAAAGCGUGGGAGCGAACAGG